AUGCUCAUAUCAGCAGUACAUAUACUAAAGUUGAAAAGAUACAGAGAUGAUUAGCAUGGCCCCUGAGCAAGGAUAACACGCAACUUUGUGAAACUGUCCAUAUUUUU
ensembl:snRNA U6 U6 spliceosomal RNA